UGGAAAUAAAAUUAGAAAAAAAGUGUCUAAUGUGAUUGGCAUAACAGAUUUGAUUUCGGGUGCGGGUCGGGUGUCGGUUCUAUUUUAGGCGGGUAAUUUGUGCUGCUGUCGAAAAACGGGUUCUGAUGCGGUUUUAAGCACUGCGGGUACGGGCGGGUGCGGAUUUACAAAAUCGGACCCGUGCAGCUCUCUGCCGUGAGACCUCCGUUUAUCUUUGGAACACAGUCUUAAAGGGGCAGGGUCCCCGCGGGUCCUUAAAAAGUCUUGAAAUGUCUUAAAUACAAUUUUCGAUUUUUAAGGUCUGAAAAUGUCUUGAAUCCUGGAAUUUUCCAUAUGAAUGUCUUAAAUUUCAUGUGGGGUCUUAAAUUUCAUGUCCGACUCGUCAUUUUUAUUUAUUUUUUCAACCGCAAUUUGACCAGCACAACAUUUGGGGGCAGCACUUCGUGGGUGCAACCUGCAUCAUACCAUAUGUCACAUACGAGUAAGUGAUUGAUGAACGCGUAUCGCUGAUGGUUCGCCACCACGGCAUUUUGCGAAAUCGCAAGCAUGGGCAAAGACGAUAAAGCUGUGGACAAGACCAUGAUUGUCAGGUCUCGCUAUCUUGGUUCUCAGUUUUUGAGCACCUCAAUGGCAGAAGACUUGCUGGAGCACUUUAAGGAGGGCACCAAGGAACUUAAUUUAAGGAACAUGCUUUCUGUGUCAAUGGAUGGACCCACAGUAAAUUGGAAAGUCAUGGAUCUCCUACAACUGGAACAUGCAAUAAAUUUCUGAUCCUGAUCUUUCCUA